GGUAUUACGCCGGCUGAACGGGGUACAUUGAUGUUGUAUAUUAUAAGAUAGUUCUUUAAUACUU
rnacentral:tRNA from 1 species